rnacentral:tmRNA from 1 species
GGGGGCGACCUGGUUUCGACGUGGGUUGCAAAACCGGAAGUGCAUGCCGAGAAUGAGAUCUCUCGUAAAUAAGACUCAAUUAAAUAUAAAUGCAAACGAAGAUAACUUUGCUGGUGGUGAAGCUAUCGCUGCAUAAGCGACAGUAAAACCCCAAAUGCGCGCUGCCAAAAACCAGCGCCCCGUUCGACCGAGCCCGCUUAUCGGUAUCGAAUCAACGGUCAUAAGAGAUAAGCUAGCGAUUUAAACCGUCCCGCUUUAAGUCGUGAAACCAAGGGACUCACCAUUCAAAAUCCUGCCCGUCGGAGAGUGAAUGGUUAACUAAAAAGACAAGGCUAAGCAUGUAGAACUGAAGGCAGAGGAUUUACGGACGCGGGUUCAAUUCCCGCCGCCUCCACCA